AUUGAACGCUGGCGGCAGGCCUAACACAUGCAAGUCGAACGGUAACAGGAAGCAUCUUGCUGCUUUGCUGACGAGUGGCGGACGGGUGAGUAAUGUCUGGGAAACUGCCCGAUGGAGGGGGAUAACUACUGGAAACGGUAGCUACUACCGCAUAACGUCGCAAGACCAAAGAGGGGGACCUUAGGGCCUCUUGCCAUCGGAUGUGCCCAGAUGGGAUUAGCUAGUAGGUGGGGUAACGGCUCACCUAGGCGACGAUCCCUAGCUGGUCUGAGAGGAUGACCAGCCACACUGGAACUGAGACACGGUCCAGACUCCUACGGGAGGCAGCAGUGGGGAAUAUUGCACAAUGGGCGCAAGCCUGAUGCAGCCAUGCCGCGUGUAUGAAGAAGGCCUUCGGGUUGUAAAGUACUUUCAGCGGGGAGGAAGGGAGUAAAGUUAAUACCUUGGCUCAUUGACGUUACCCGCAGAAGAAGCACCGGCUAACUCCGUG
rnacentral:rRNA from 1 species